UACGAAGGGAGCUAGCGUUGUUCGGAAUCAUACGUGGGCGUAAAGCGCAUCGUAGGCGGAUGAUUGUCAGUCAGGGGUGAAAUCCCGGAGCUCAACUCCAGAACUGCCUUUGAUACUGAAGAUCGUUGAGUUCGGGAGAGGUGAGUGGAACUGCGAAGUGUAGAGGUGAAAUUCGUAGAAUAUUCGCAAGAACACCAGUGGCGAAGGCGGACUCACUGGCCCCGAUACUGACGCUGAGGCGGCGGAAAAGCUAAGG
rnacentral:rRNA from 1 species